rnacentral:rRNA from 1 species
AGAGUUUGAUCAUGGCUCAGAUUGAACGCUGGCGGCAGGCCUAACACAUGCAAGUCGAGCGGUAGCACAGAGAGCUUGCUCUCGGGUGACGAGCGGCGGACGGGUGAGUAAUGUCUGGGAAACUGCCUGAUGGAGGGGGAUAACUACUGGAAACGGUAGCUAAUACCGCAUAACGUCGCAAGACCAAAGUGGGGGACCUUCGGGCCUCAUGCCAUCAGAUGUGCCCAGAUGGGAUUAGCUAGUAGGUGGGGUAACGGCUCACCUAGGCGACGAUCCCUAGCUGGUCUGAGAGGAUGACCAGCCACACUGGAACUGAGACACGGUCCAGACUCCUACGGGAGGCAGCAGUGGGGAAUAUUGCACAAUGGGCGCAAGCCUGAUGCAGCCAUGCCGCGUGUGUGAAGAAGGCCUUCGGGUUGUAAAGCACUUUCAGCGGGGAGGAAGGCGUUAAGGUUAAUAACCUUGGCGAUUGACGUUACCCGCAGAAGAAGCACCGGCUAACUCCGUGCCAGCAGCCGCGGUAAUACGGAGGGUGCAAGCGUUAAUCGGAAUUACUGGGCGUAAAGCGCACGCAGGCGGUCUGUCAAGUCGGAUGUGAAAUCCCCGGGCUCAACCUGGGAACUGCAUUCGAAACUGGCAGGCUAGAGUCUUGUAGAGGGGGGUAGAAUUCCAGGUGUAGCGGUGAAAUGCGUAGAGAUCUGGAGGAAUACCGGUGGCGAAGGCGGCCCCCUGGACAAAGACUGACGCUCAGGUGCGAAAGCGUGGGGAGCAAACAGGAUUAGAUACCCUGGUAGUCCACGCCGUAAACGAUGUCGAUUUGGAGGUUGUGCCCUUGAGGCGUGGCUUCCGGAGCUAACGCGUUAAAUCGACCGCCUGGGGAGUACGGCCGCAAGGUUAAAACUCAAAUGAAUUGACGGGGGCCCGCACAAGCGGUGGAGCAUGUGGUUUAAUUCGAUGCAACGCGAAGAACCUUACCUGGUCUUGACAUCCACAGAACUUNUUGGUGCCUUCGGGAACUGUGAGACAGGUGCUGCAUGGCUGUCGUCAGCUCGUGUUGUGAAAUGUUGGGUUAAGUCCCGCAACGAGCGCAACCCUUAUCCUUUGUUGCCAGCGGUUAGGCCGGGAACUCAAAGGAGACUGCCAGUGAUAAACUGGAGGAAGGUGGGGAUGACGUCAAGUCAUCAUGGCCCUUACGACCAGGGCUACACACGUGCUACAAUGGCAUAUACAAAGAGAAGCGACCUCGCGAGAGCAAGCGGACCUCAUAAAGUAUGUCGUAGUCCGGAUUGGAGUCUGCAACUCGACUCCAUGAAGUCGGAAUCGCUAGUAAUCGUAGAUCAGAAUGCUACGGUGAAUACGUUCCCGGGCCUUGUACACACCGCCCGUCACACCAUGGGAGUGGGUUGCAAAAGAAGUAGGUAGCUUAACCUUCGGGAGGGCGCUUACCACUUUGUGAUUCAUGACUGGGGUGAAGUCGUAACAAGGUAACCGUAGGGGAACCUGCGGUUG